rnacentral:rRNA from 1 species
UACGGGGGGGGCAAGCGUUGUUCGGAAUUACUGGGCGUAAAGGGCGCGUAGGCGGCCACGCACGUCCGUUGUGAAAUCGCCCGGCUCAACUGGGCGGGGUCGGCGGAUACGGCGUGGCUGGAGCAAGCUAGGGGGCAAUGGAAUUCCCGGUGUAGUGGUGGAAUGCGUAGAUAUCGGGAGGAACACCAGUGGCGAAGGCGGUUGCCUGGAGCUUUGCUGACGCUGAGGCGCGAAAGCGUGGGGAGCGAUCCGG